GGCCCGGAAGAUGUGGCGAAAUGGCAUCGCGUCUGACUACGAUGCAAAUGUAAUCAGGAGAUUGCAGGUUCGACCCCUGUCUCGGUCA